UUAAAAAUAAGCUAAAUUAAGCUUUUGGGUUCAUACCCCAACUAUAAAGAAUAACUCUUUUUUUUAAA
rnacentral:tRNA from 1 species